rnacentral:rRNA from 1 species
AACGAACGCUGGCGGCAGGCUUAACACAUGCAAGUCGAACGCCCCGCAAGGGGAGUGGCAGACGGGUGAGUAACGCGUGGGAACAUACCCUUUUCUACGGAAUAGCUCUGGGAAACUGGAAUUAAUACCGUAUACGCCCUACGGGGGAAAGAUUUAUCGGGGAAGGAUUGGCCCGCGUUGGAUUAGCUAGUUGGUGGGGUAAAGGCCUACCAAGGCGACGAUCCAUAGCUGGUCUGAGAGGAUGAUCAGCCACAUUGGGACUGAGACACGGCCCAAACUCCUACGGGAGGCAGCAGUGGGGAAUAUUGGACAAUGGGCGCAAGCCUGAUCCAGCCAUGCCGCGUGAGUGAUGAAGGCCUUAGGGUUGUAAAGCUCUUUCACCGAUGAAGAUAGUGACGGUAGUCGGAGAAGAAGCCCCGGCUAACUUCGUG